CUGAAUUGUCAAACGGGUUGUUGCUGGUCCUCAAACGGGGACAUGUGCACGCUCUGUUUACACAUCCACUCACACCUGUGCACCCUUUGUAGUUCUAUGGUCUGGGGGACCCUGUCUCCCUGCCGUGGUUCUACGUCUUUACACACACGCUGUAAUAAAGUCUUAUGGAAUGUAUGCCGCGUCUAACGCAAUACAAUA
rnacentral:misc_RNA from 1 species